rnacentral:rRNA from 1 species
CAGCUGAUGGAGCACCCGCGUGAGUGAAGAAGGGUUUCGGCUCGUAAAGCUCUGUUGUUGGAGAAGAACGUGCGUGAGAGUAACUGUUCACGCAGUGACGGUAUCCAACCAGAAAGUCACGGCUAACUACGUGCCAGCAGCCGCGGUAAUACGUAAGUGGCAAGCGUUAUCCGGAUUUAUUGGGCGUAAAGCGAGCGCAGGCGGUUGCUUAGGUCUGAUGUGAAAGCCUUCGGCUUAACCGAAGAAGUGCAUCGGAAACCGGGCGACUUGAGUGCAGAAGAGGACAGUGGAACUCCAUGUGUAGCGGUGGAAUGCGUAGAUAUAUGGAAGAACACCAGUGGCGAAGGCGGCUGUCUGGUCUGCAACUGACGCUGAGGCUCGAAAGCAUGGGUAGCGAACAGGAUUAGAUACC